rnacentral:rRNA from 1 species
AUGGGUUUAAGGAGGUCUAGCAGUGUUGAUGAUGUGUAUGGAGGUGGGUGCCUCAUGGAGGAGCUGCCACUUCCCGUGUAUGAUCCAAGCUUGCAGCCCACCUAUGUGUUGGCAUUGGAGGAUACACGAGAGUAUGUGUUGAACACGGUGAAGAGGCACAUAUUCGCCGUGGAGACCUUGGCCGAAGAAUCGACUCCCUCACCGAGGAACUCCGUCGAGAUAGGCUUGCUGCACGGGGUCGACAUCGACAACUCCCCGAACAGCAGGGCCAACGCCACCUUGAGGAGGGGCAUGGAGAGCACAUCCACGUCUACUCGGGCGAUGCUCAUAGCUACUACGCUGCACCACCUCGGCGUGCUUGCCACGACCAGCGAGGUGCUACUUGGGCGCCAUCGUCUCCACCAUGAGAUGGGCUUGCUGCACGGGGUCGACAUCGACAACUCCCCAUACAACAGGACUACCAUGGAGAGCAUUGAAGCGACCACUCUGAUGAUGCUCGAAACUACUACGAGCCUCGACCAUGACGUGCUCAUCAUGAUCAUCAUGGAGAAGGCCAAGAAGGCUUUGUCAUGGGAGGAAGAGGUCAUGGGCGUGCUCAUCGUGACCAUGAAGAUGAUGGGAUUGAUAAAUUCAAACUUACCAUACCAUUGUUCAAUGGGAAAACCAAGCCUGAUGAUUAUUUGGAGUGGGAGAUGCACGUGGUUCAAAUCUUUGAUAGCCACCGCUAUACAGAGGAGAAGAAGGUACGAUAUGCAUCCAUUGAGUUUACCGGAUAUGCUUUGA